CAGCAGAUGAACACAUCGCCCAUUAACGCUACGCUGAUCACACAACUGCAUCAUGCCUGCACUGAUGGUAGUGUCCAUUGCUUACCUGGUCACAUCUGCAGCUGCCAGUUGCAGUGAAAAUCAACACUGCCGAGACUGUGACAGCAGGAGUGGCUUUUGCCUAACCACGUGUGACAGUGGUUAUUACGACCUUAAAUGUAGGUCUCUUUGCAGCAGCAGCUGUAAAAAUAAGAAAUGUAAA